UACGGGGGGAGCAAGCGUUGUUCGGAAUCACUGGGCGUAAAGCGCACGUAGGCGGAUUGCUAAGUCAGGGGUGAAAUCCUGGAGCUCAACUCCAGAACUGCCUUUGAUACUGAAGAUCUUGAGUUCGGGAGAGGUGAGUGGAACUGCGAGUGUAGAGGUGAAAUUCGUAGAUAUUAGGAAGAACACCAGUGGCGAAGGCGGCUCACUGGCCCGGUACUGACGCUGAGGAGCGAAAGCGUGGGGAGCAAACAGG
rnacentral:rRNA from 1 species